rnacentral:tRNA from 1 species
GGCGACGAUGGAGGUGUUGGCGUUCGGCUGGGCCGCCAGCCCGGCCGGGAAGUUGGCGUAGCCCAUGAUCACCCCAUGGUCGCCGCCG